rnacentral:rRNA from 1 species
CCCUUAGAGUUUGAUCCUGGCUCAGAUUGAACGCUGGCGGCAUGCCUUACACAUGCAAGUCGAACGGUAACAGGGAGCUUGCUCCGCUGACGAGUGGCGAACGGGUGAGUAAUACAUCGGAACGUGCCCAGUAAUGGGGGAUAGCUCGGCGAAAGCCGGAUUAAUACCGCAUACGCCCUGAGGGGGAAAGUGGAGGACCGCAAGGCCUCACGUUAUUGGAGCGGCCGAUGGCUGAUUAGCUAGUUGGUAGGGUAAAGGCCUACCAAGGCGACGAUCAGUAGCUGGUCUGAGAGGACGAUCAGCCACACUGGGACUGAGACACGGCCCAGACUCCUACGGGAGGCAGCAGUGGGGAAUUUUGGACAAUGGGGGAAACCCUGAUCCAGCAAUGCCGCGUGUGCGAAGAAGGCCUUCGGGUUGUAAAGCACUUUUGUCAGGGAAGAAAUCCUUUGGGCUAAUACCCUAGGGGGAUGACGGUACCUGAAGAAUAAGCACCGGCUAACUACGUGCCAGCAGCCGCGGUAAUACGUAGGGUGCAAGCGUUAAUCGGAAUUACUGGGCGUAAAGCGUGCGCAGGCGGUUGUGUAAGACAGGUGUGAAAUCCCCGGGCUUAACCUGGGAAUUGCAUUUGUGACUGCACGACUAGAGUGUGUCAGAGGGGGGUGGAAUUCCACGUGUAGCAGUGAAAUGCGUAGAUAUGUGGAGGAACACCAAUGGCGAAGGCAGCCCCCUGGGGAUAACACUGACGCUCAUGCACGAAAGCGUGGGGAGCA